rnacentral:rRNA from 1 species
GUGGGGAAUAUUGGACAAUGGGCGAAAGCCUGAUCCAGCCAUGCCGCGUGUGUGAAGAAGGUCUUCGGAUUGUAAAGCACUUUAAGUUGGGAGGAAGGGCAGUAAGUUAAUACCUUGCUGUUUUGACGUUACCGACAGAAUAAGCACCGGCUAACUUCGUGCCAGCAGCCGCGGUAAUACGAAGGGUGCAAGCGUUAAUCGGAAUUACUGGGCGUAAAGCGCGCGUAGGUGGUUCAGCAAGUUGGAGGUGAAAUCCCCGGGCUCAACCUGGGAACUGCCCCCAAAACUACUGAGCUAGAGUACGGUAGAGGGUAGUGGAAUUUCCUGUGUAGCGGUGAAAUGCGUAGAUAUAGGAAGGAACACCAGUGGCGAAGGCGACUACCUGGACUGAUACUGACACUGAGGUGCGAAAGCGUGGGGAGCAAACAGGAUUAGAAACCCUGGUAGUCC